rnacentral:misc_RNA from 1 species
AUUUUUUUUGCCUUUCAAUUUGAAUAAGAUAUCAUUAUUAUUUAAUGAAUAAUCAUUUAUUGUGAAUAUAGAAUCUUUCUUAUUUUAAAUUAAAAAUUAAAGAAUGCACUAAUUUUUUAGGAUAUUUUAACUUUUUUAGUAGAUUAUUUUUCAAUUAGGAUCACUUAUUAAUGAUCGGAUACAAGUCAACAUACCAUAACAUACUUGCUAUAGCAAUGGGUUACCAGAACAAAGUGCAGAACUUUUCAGGAAUUUUCCAUAACCAUGACUAGUCAAUAUACCAAACCUACUAGCAUAAAUAUACAAGUCAACCAAUAAUUUAACAUUAAUUCAUCUCGGCAGAUAAGUGUUGAAGAUGACUCCACAUCACAACAUAAUAACUUCAAGUUUAUAUUUCUUCUCUCCAUCUGAUAUAGUCCAUAAAAUCCCUCUCUAUUUUAACACCCAAAAAGCCAAUUAACAAUUUAAUUAAGUGCAUAGGAUUUGUGUAUGAUUAAUUAGCUCUUAAAAUUAGAAUGUGAAAACCAAAGUAAUAACCAAAUCACACCCAUGAAAAGAAAAGGCAAUAACACUAAUAACUUACAUUCUUUUAAUCUGAACUAAAAAAAUAAGCCAGCCACUUAUCCCCAUUAGGGGUAAUCUUCCUAGCUGCAUAAAAUUAGAGAUUCUAUUAACAUCUCUAAUGUUAAAAUCAUCAUCUCGUUUCUUAAUCAAGCCUGAAACCACUCUUUGCCUUAUUUACUGUGAAAUUAACAAUUUGUGGUAAAGAAAUGCAUAGAAACUACCUCUGAGAUUUUGCAAUGAUAAUGUUUAACUUUGCUUUGCUUUAUUGUGGAAUAUAAAGCUCAAUUUUUGCCAUUGCUGCCUUGCCACAGCAUAUAUAAGACUUCUCUGGCUGAUGACUUAGAGAAAGCCCUUGAAUUAUUUACGAACCAAGGUUGAAUUGACCUACUAUAAUUUUUUUCGUCAAUUAUAUUUUUUUUAGUUUCCCAAAAAUUAAUAAUUAGGCU